UACGAGAGGCCCAAACGUUAUUCGGAAUUACUGGGCGUAAAGCGUGCGCAGGCGGCUUUGCAAGACAGAUGUGAAAUCCCCGGGCUCAACCUGGGAACUGCAUUUGUGACUGCAUCGCUGGAGUGCGGCAGAGGGGGAUGGAAUUCCGCGUGUAGCAGUGAAAUGCGUAGAUAUGCGGAGGAACACCGAUGGCGAAGGCAAUCCCCGUGGGCCUGCACUGACGCUCAUGCACGAAAGCGUGGGGAGCAAACAGG
rnacentral:rRNA from 1 species